UACGGGGGGGGCAAGCGUUGUUCGGAAUUAUUGGGCGUAAAGGGCUCGUAGGCAGUCUGUCACGUCGGGAGUGAAAACUCAGGGCUUAACCCUGAGCCUGCUUCCGAUACGGGCAGACUAGAGGUAUGCAGGGGAGAACGGAAUUCCUGGUGUAGCGGUGAAAUGCGCAGAUAUCAGGAGGAACACCGGUGGCGAAGGCGGUUCUCUGGGCAUUACCUGACGCUGAGGAGCGAAAGUGUGGGGAGCGAACAGG
rnacentral:rRNA from 1 species